CCUACGGGCGGCUGCGGUGAGGAAUAUUGGUCAAUGGACGAGAGUCUGAACCAGCCAAGUAGCGUGAAGGAUGACUGCCCUAUGGGUUGUAAACUUCUUUUAUAAAGGAAUAAAACGAGGCACGUGUGCCUUUUUGCAUGUACUUUAUGAAUAAGGAUCGGCUAACUCCGUGCCAGCAGCCGCGGUAAUACGGAGGAUGCGAGCGUUAUCCGGAUUUAUUGGGUUUAAAGGGAGCGUAGGUGGGUUGUUAAGUCAGUUGUGAAAGUUUGCGGCUCAACCGUAAAAUUGCAAUUGAUACUGGCAGUCUUGAGUACAGUUGAGGUAGGCGGAAUUCGUGGUGUAGCAGUGAAAUGCUUAGAUAUCACGAAGAACCCCGAUGGCGAAGGCAGGUUACUAAACUGUGACUGACAUUGAUGCUCGAAGGUGUGGGUAUCAAACAGGAUUAGAUACCCCAGUAGUC
rnacentral:rRNA from 1 species